rnacentral:lncRNA from 1 species
UUCCUGUCAUGUUGUAGGUACUCAGUAAGAUGUUUGCAAUCACUGCUAUAGUUUUUAAUCAGCAGCCAGUAUGGUGCCUGCCCAUAGUACGUUUGUGUACUUUUUUGUUCAGUGAAUGAAUACUUCCCACCUAUACUAAGGAUUCUGGAACACUUCAUUUCCCUUUUGUGGAGCAGAACAUUAAAUUAGGAACAAUACUAUGACAAAAGUGGGAAGAAAAAUAUUAAUGUAGCAAAAAUUAAAAUAUUUUAGUUGCUAUGUAAUGCCUCAAAAUUGACCCUGAAUGAAAUGAACGAUGAAGAAUGUAGAACCACAGCAGAGUAUAUGUAGGUGACUUAAGGAAAUAACCUUUCCUAGGAACAUAAAGACAUAUUGGAUUCUUGUAUAAAUUUCUUCAUAGAAUCCAGUGUACUUUACACUAUCCAUUUUUCAUAUAGCUUUUCAUUUGCGUUAUAAGGAAAUCUCAGACAUAAACAUAAUUGGAGUGAUAAAAGAACAUAUCUAUAAAUGUUGCCCAGCCAGGAAUAUCUGAGCAGUGGUACUUUAUACAGGACACCAAGACUUUAUUAUUAUUAUUAUUAUUAUUAUUUUGUCUUUUUGGGGCUGUACCUCUGUAGCUCUGAUUCGACCCCUAGCCUGGAAACUUCCAUAUGCCUCGGGUGUGGCCCUAAAAAGCAAAAUAACUAAAUAAAUACAUAAAUAAAUAACCAUUCUUCUGUCUACAAACAAGUUGCUUAGUCAUUUAACAAGUAUUCAUUGAGUACCUACUGUGUGUCAGGGGCUGUGCCAGGUACUGGAAUUACAAUAUAGAGAAGAUAGACUUUUUUUUUUUAACUUUAUCAUAGGGGAAGACAAUUUAGGAAGAAUUAUCUGGUGUUUGUUGUUCUCCUUUCUUAACUGAAAAGCAUUGCUAUUAACUGCUUAAUAAACACUUUGUGGAAAGAGUAAUGGUAGUGAUUAUCACCUGAAGGAAAUGACUUAUGAAAACAAUUAUGUGACAGUUUUGGAGAAAACAGUGAGACUAUGAGAAUAGAUUAUUUUGAUUCACAAGUGUAACUUUUUUCAUCUGUAUGACCAAAGCUAUUUGUGUCCGGUAUAUAUGGUAAUAAUAAGCAUUCUCUAUGACAUCUUGUAGCCUGUAGCUUUUCUUGCAGGAAACUGGAAACAUGUCAGGAUGCCUUUCUGAACUCUGGCCUUGCUCCUAACUGGAGCCAUUGCACCAGGCUCUGAGAGGCAUUAGCACCAUACCAUUCAGAGGUGAGAAAAUCAAGAACUGUAGAGAAGUUUGGAGGAAGAGCAAGUACAUGGACUUCACAGUGAUGGUUGCAAUCAACGUAAGAAACAGAAGAAUAGAAAUGUGGCCUUGGGGGUAUACCCAGUAAUUUCUCCAAUUCUUCAGAUGUCAGCAGAUCUAUUGCAGAUUUUGCAUUUAACAUGUCAGUCUGAUGGGUGUCUGUGACUGACAGAAGUGACUAGGGGUGUGGGGAGUGGCAAGUUACUCGCAGGAGCCAUGAAAACAGUGUAUAAAGUUGGAAUUGGGAGCACUAAGCCUGAAACUCUGUUUUUAUCAUUUUUAGUUCUAUGACUUUCAGCAAGUGUUUUAAAGUUCCCGAGGCUCCAUUUCUUCUGUGUAAGAUGGAGAUAAUAACCAUCUUAAAAGCUUUUAAAGUAGGGCUAAAUGAGUUAAUGACUUGGAAAAGGCCUUGCUUAGUGACUCAGUCCUCAACACUUUGAGAUUGUUUGAGUAAAGGUAGAUAGGAUUUUCUAGGCUGUGGUGAUUUUUACAUUAUGCUUUUUAGUAUAUAGUUGUCUAGCUCACAUUUAGUGAGCACUUAAUUUGUUUCAUGCAUUGUUUUGUGAGUUUCAUCUUAUGACUUGUUGACUCCUCAAUGACUAUGUGAGGUAGAUCUUUUACUUUCCUUUCACAAGUGAGAACUCUGGGGUCGAGUUUCGUGACAGAGCCCAAAUUUGAACCUGAACAUGUGGCUUGUCCCUGGAGCUUUCUUAACCCUGCUUCUAGAUGGUGAAGUCACUCUAUCCACAUUAGGGCAGAAGGAACAAAAGAAAAUACUAUGUAGUGAGGGGUAAUCUCUACAUACUAAAAAGAUAAACUCAUUUUAACUUAUUCACCCAUUUGGAAAAGGAUUGAAAUGACCAUUUGUCUUAUCUUUGAUUUGUACAUUGUUUCUUUCAAUUUUGAAUAAUUAAUUCUGAUACAGAGUAAAAGUUGUAGUGAUUUCCAAUCAAAUCUUUUCUCUUAAGCUAAGCAGUCUUUCUCAUUUGUUGUUUCCUCUUAUUCUUUUGUGUUUUUGUAUGGGAUCCUGAAAUUGGAUGUGUUUAUUGUGUAGACCACAAAGGAUACCUAGGGAAGGUAAAGCAGCCUUAACGAGAGGAUUAAGCAAGUCAAGAGCCAUAUGUGAUAAUCCACCUCUUCAAAAAAUAGGCAUCCUGGCCUUUAUGAUUGGUUUAUGAUAGAAGACCUCCCUGUUUCACUCACACCAUGCUAAGUUAUGGUUUUCCUUACAAGCCUUAGAAUAUUUAUUUUCUUCUUCUUAGAAAAGCUGGGAUAUUUUUCUCAGGUUUGUUGAUAUCUGCUUGUAUCUGAGUAAAUGGACUCUAGAUCUUUCUGUGCUGAGAGUUUUCUGAGGAAAAUGGGUACAUGAACAAAGGACAGGUAUUUUGAUUUCCAUAAUAAAUUCUUUGUUGUAAUUUUCUAAAGAGAGGCAAAACUGUUUUUAUUUGGAAGUUCCCAGGCUAGAGGUCAGGUUCCCAGCCACAGCCACAGCCACACCAGAUCCCAGCCACAUUUGCAACUUAUGCUGCAGUUUGCCCCGGCAACACUGGAUCCUUAACCCAUUGAGCAAGGCCAGGAAUCGAACCCAGAUCCUCAUGGAUACUUGUCAGGUUCAUUACUCCUGAGCCACAACAGAAACUCCCAAAAUUGGUUUUGAAUUUUGGGUGCGUGCUUUGUGGAUUAUUUAGAUCAGAGAUUACGCGAUUUAUCAAUUAUCCUAAGAUUUGCAGGGCGAAUACUCCUUCACCCCCUGUUCCUUUAGCCUUCAUUCGUUUUUUGGUUCAAUGGAUUGAUUUUGUUUUUAGAUAUGACAGUGAGACUUAAUGAGAAGGAUAAUGUGGUGGAAUCAGAAGUGACUCCUCUUUCUCUUCUCUUAUUAUUACUGCUUUAUAAUAAUAAUAAUAAUAAUUGGCAGUGAUAGUAGCUGUAACAAAAAUAACUACAGUGUGGUGAUCAUGUUUUACGUGUCACCUGAAUUAUGUAAUAUAAUCAUUAUAUAGUUACCCACAGAAGUAAUAAGUGUAAGGGUUAAGUAGGUAUAUUAUAUCAUCAUUUAAAUGGUGAAGAAGUUGAGGUUAAAUACACUGAAUAAUUCUCCAGUCAGCUAGCAAGUAAGUGGCAGAGCUAAAAUCCAAACCCAUGACUGCCUCCUUCCUAUCUCAUAUUCUACUACUGCUAUUACCUCUUCAUUUGAAAAAAAAAAAAAAA